rnacentral:tRNA from 1 species
AGAGCGGUCGAAUGCGCUCGCUUGGAAAGCGGGUAUACCGAAAGGUAUCGCAGGUUCGAAUCCUGUCUCCUCCGCCA